GCCCAAGUGGCGGAAUGGUAGACGCAGGGGAUUCAAAAUCCCCCGAUGGCAACAUCGUGUGAGUUCGAAUCUCACCUUGGGCACCA
rnacentral:tRNA from 2 species